CGGUGAGCGCUCGCUGGC
rnacentral:miRNA from 1 species